GUAGGUGGCAAGCGUUGCCCGGAAUUAUUGGGCGUAAAGCGCGCGCAGGCGGUCCUUUAAGUCUGAUGUGAAAGCCCACGGCUCAACCGUGGAGGGUCAUUGGAAACUGGGGGACUUGAGUACAGAAGAGGAAAGCGGAAUUCCAAGUGUAGCGGUGAAAUGCGUAGAGAUUUGGAGGAACACCAGUGGCGAAGGCGGCUUUCUGGUCUGUAACUGACGCUGAGGCGCGAAAGCGUGGGGAGCAAACAGGGAUUAGAUACCCUGGUAGUCCACGCCGUAAACGAUGAGUGCUAAGUGUUAGGGGGUUUCCCGCCCCUUAGUGCUGCAGCUAACGCAUUAAGCACUCCGCCUGGGGAGUACGGCCGCAAGGCUG
rnacentral:rRNA from 1 species